rnacentral:rRNA from 1 species
GAUGAACGCUAGCGGCAGGCUUAAUACAUGCAAGUCGAGGGGUAGCAAGAUUGUAGCAAUACAAUUGUUGACGACCGGCAAACGGGUGCGGAACACGUACACAACCUUCCUACAAGUGGGGAAUAGCCCAGAGAAAUUUGGAUUAAUACCCCGUAACAUAGCGAUGUGGCAUCACAUUGCUAUUAUAGCUUCGGCGCUUGUUGAUGGGUGUGCGGCUGAUUAGAUAGUUGGCGGGGUAACGGCCCACCAAGUCUACGAUCAGUAGCUGAUGUGAGAGCAUGAUCAGCCACACGGGCACUGAGACACGGGCCCGACUCCUACGGGAGGCAGCAGUAAGGAAUAUUGGACAAUGGACGCAAGUCUGAUCCAGCCAUGCCGCGUGAAGGAUUAAGGUCCUCUGGAUUGUAAACUUCUUUUAUAAGGGACGAAAAAAGGCUUUUCUAAGUCGUCUGACGGUACCUUAUGAAUAAGCACCGGCUAACUACGUGCCAGCAGCCGCCGUAAAAC